AACCUUUACACUGCACGACAGUGCGAUAAGGGAAUCCCAAGUGCGUAGGCAUAGAGCCUACGCUUUUGUCCACCGUAGGGAGGUGGACGAAUAAGGGCUGGGCAAGACCGGUGCCAGCCGCCGCGGUAAUACCGGCAGCCCAAGUGAUGGCCGCUCUUAUUGGGCCUAAAGCGUCCGUAGCUGGCCAGGCAAGUCCGUCGGGAAAUCCGCGUGCCCAACACGCGGGCGUCCGGUAGAAACUGCGUGGCUUGGGACCGGAAGGCGCGACGGGUACGUCCGGGGUAGGAGUGAAAUCCCGUAAUCCUGGACGGACCGCCGAUGGCGAAAGCACGUCGCGAAGACGGAUCCGACAGUGAGGGACGAAAGCUAGGGUCUCGAACCGGAUUAGAUACCCGGGUAGUCCUAGCCGUAAACAAUGCCUGCUAGGUGUGGCUCCCACUACGAGUGGGUGCUGUGCCGUAGGGAAGCCGCUAAGCAGGCCGCCUGGGAAGUACGUCCGCAAGGAUGAAACUUAA
rnacentral:rRNA from 1 species